GUUUACUAUUAUGUUGUGUGCGUUAAAUUGCUAAUUUUUGUUGUCUUUUUGGUAAUUUAAUUUAUCUAACUGCAUAGCCCCAAUUGUUGGUUUAUUUACAAUAGGUGUUUCAAUUAUGUUGUCUUGAUUUAUGUAACGUCUCUUUACGUAAUUUAUUGUUGAUUGGUAAAUAUGAGAUGUUGAUAUGUAAUUGAGAAUUAGUUGAUAAUGUGAAUC
rnacentral:lncRNA from 1 species